GUCAGCUGUUAAGAGGGAAGAGAAUGGCUGGCAGUGUGGAAGCUUAGAAUUUGCUUCAGUGCUAGCAAUUGUUUCUCACAGAGGCUGAAGGAGGGACAAAGGAGGAUGACUCUGCAGGGAUGGAUCUAGAAAUGUAUGGAAGGGCCAGGAGCUGGCAAGUAUGCAAAAGUGACCUGAAUAAAUUAUUUUCUUUUGGUCCAAGCAACAUCUGCAUCAUUUUUACCUGUCCUUGAAUUCAGGAGCUGUUUUCCCUGC